rnacentral:rRNA from 1 species
UACGGAGGGGGCAAGCGUUGUUCGGAAUUAUUGGGCGUAAAGGGCACGUAGGUGGACUAGUAAGUUAAAAGUGAAAUACCAAAGCUUAACUUUGGAGCGGCUUUUAAUACUGCUAGACUAGAGGUCGAAAGAGGAUAGCGGAAUUCCUAGUGUAGAGGUGAAAUUCGUAGAUAUUAGGAGGAACACCAGUGGCGAAAGCGGCUGUCUGGUUCGAUACUGACACUGAGGUGCGAAAGCGUGGGGAGCA